GACAACCAAGUUCAACCCUUCUCCCUUAUGAUCAAUUAGAAGGAACAGAGGUAGAUCAACUGGCUCCACCUGCCUACUUCUCAUCUAUAUACAAGUAGGUCCCAUGGCCCAAUCCCACAGCUCCCAGAGCAGGGUGAAUUGCUACUUUAACCAUCCUUGCGGUAGCUCUGCCUAAACUGUAGACUCGCAGAACUUGAGGUCACUCCAGGGUCACUCAUUUUGAGGAGGAAUAAACUGAGGCUCAAGGUAACUACAUCACACCAAAAUCACCUUGUUUUAAGGUGCUUAGAAAUUAUUUACUCCAACCCCUUUAUUUUGCAGAGGCAGGAAUUGAGGCCUGGAGAGGGGGAAGGGACCUACUCAAGGUCACUACAUGAGUCAGAGGCAGAAUGAAAAGCCAGGUCUCAUGUUUACUUUGUAAAUGGACUGGACUAGGGUGGGAGACAGGAGGAGAAUGGACAUGAGAGCUUUCGACAUAUGCCUGAAUGUUUUUCCUGUGGAAUAGGUCAUGGGCUUUUUCUAUAUCAUCCCAGGGGCCAUAAUUGGUAACAAUAGUUGAGCAUAAACUGGAGGAUGACUCAUACAGUCUGUUGUAGAGGGGACCUUUGGCCAUAUAUGGCUUGGGGGAGAUGACCUCUAAGGUCCCCCACAGUUCUCAGAUUUGGCAUAUCUAUAAUUCUGUCUUCCUCCUCUUUUCUCUUGGAUAAAUGUGGGUGUUUGAACUCAGGAGAGGAAAAGGGGAGUCAUAAAAAGUUCUGGGAGGCCAUAGAAAAUAAGUUCAAGAGUUUCAGGAGCUGGAUCUGUGACAGAUAGGUAAUUCUAGGUCUCUAGUAGACUCACAAUGUCCAGCCGAACCCAGAUUCAGGGUGACUGAGUUUGCUUGGAUAUGCUAAUGUUUGAGGAGGAAAGUGAUCAAGAGACAGACUGGGCUGAGAUGGAGAAGACCUGGGACCCUAGUGUCAAGGGGAUAGAGAGUGGGCAGGAAGCACAUGAAAUAAAGGGAGACUAAGAAUGAACUAGAAGCAGGAUAUGGAACAGGAUCUAGGAGAGGAUGGACAGAAGUGAGAAAGUUAGAAGACAGCAGUUGGGUUUAAUGUCAGACUACCUGGGUUUGAAUUCUAGCUCUGCACUUACUACCUAUUUGGCCUUGGACAGGUCACUUUUGCACUGUUUCCUUGGUUUCCAUAUCCAUUGAAUGAAGGAAUUGGACUUGAUGAGAUCCCUAAAGUUCCUUUCAGCAGUAAAUACCACUUCUUCAAGAAGCUAGAAAUGGUACAUGCCCACCCAACUCCUGCCUGGUUUGUUAUCCACCAGGACAUGGUAUGAGCCAACCAUUCAAGGACAGUUAGACCUGCCUCUUCAAUCUCACCAAGCCUCAUAACAUCAACAAGUCUAUUUGGUCUGCAGCAGAAGAAUCACAGCUCUAGCGACUUCCUUACCUGUGUUGGGCUUCCUUCCCCAGUGCCCACUCCCCAGUCCCUUGGGGAAGAUGAUUUCUGAGGCUCCUGGCACUUCAGCAUUCAAUGCGG